AUGGCCAACAAUAAUUACUAUGUAUGUACGUAUGAAUGUAAAGGAGAUGGAGUGGUGGCUGGCAUUUAUAAAGAAAAAAAAGAGAAUCCUUCCUGUUAUAUAUUGGUUUUGUCUGACUGUUCAUCAUACAUAGGGACGACACAGCCAUUGGGGAUGAGCAGGAUGCCUAGGAAGAGGAGGACAAGGAGGUCGUUCAGCAGCAGCUCAUGGAGGAAUCAUUCCUGUUGGGGCUCACUUCCGUGGCCUAGCUUCACUUCACGACAUAGCAUCUGGCAAGUUCAGCACAUGGGAUGGGAAUGA
rnacentral:rRNA from 1 species